rnacentral:rRNA from 1 species
CGCGGGCGGCGUGCCUAACACAUGCAAGUCAACGAGAAAAGGGUAGCAAUAUCCUGAGUAAAGUGGCGCACGGGUGAGUAACACGUAGACAAUCUGCCUUUAGGACGGGAACAACCCCGAGAAAUCGAGGCUAAUACCCGAUGAUGCAACGGUACCGCAUGGUAACUGUUGUUAAAAGCCCCAAAAGGGCGCCUGGAGAUGAGUCUGCGUCCCAUUAGGUAGUUGGUGAGGUAACGGCCCACCAAGCCUACGAUGGGUAGCUGAUCUGAGAGGAUGAUCAGCCACACUGGAACUGAGACACGGUCCAGACUCCUACGGGAGGCAGCAGUGAGGAAUAUUGCGCAAUGGCCGAAAGGCUGACGCAGCGACGCCGCGUGAAGGAUGAAGUCCGUUAGGACGUAAACUUCUUUUGCAGGGGAUGAAUGUACGCCUCAGGCGUAUUGACCGUACCCUGCGAAUAAGGAUCGGCUAACUACGUGCCAGCAGCCGCGGUAAUACGUAGGAUCCGAGCGUUGUCCGGAAUUACUGGGUGUAAAGGGCGUGUAGGUGGGUCUUUAAGUCGGUGGUGAAAUCCUGCAGCUUAACUGCAGAACUGCCAUUGAUACUGGAGAUCUUGAGUGCGGCAGAGGGAGAUGGAAUUCAUGGUGUAGCGGUGAAAUGUGUAGAUAUCAUGAAGAACACCGGUAGCGAAGGCGGUCUCCUGGUCCGCAACUGACACUGAGGCGCGAAAGCGUGGGGAGCAAACAGGAUUAGAUACCCUGGUAGUCCACGCCUUAAACGAUGGGUACUCGGUGCUGGUCCCGCUCGGUGCUUGCGAAGAGCGAGCUUCGAGCGGGAUCAGUGCCAAAGCUAACGCAUUAAGUACCCCACCUGGGGAGUACGAU